rnacentral:lncRNA from 1 species
AUGGUGGGCCUGUCCUUGAAGGUUUGCAUCUGCCACUGCAACAUGGUGAAAACCACGCAGUGUGAGCCAAAUCAGUCUAUGUAAUGCAUGUCAAGUCACUCAGGAGUGAGUCCCUAAGGCACACGCUGGCCAGGUUUCUCACUAUGGGUUGUUUCUUUCUGAGGAAGACUCACUGGCAUUUCUCAAUGCCAGUGAGGAAAGGCAUUUCACUGGAAGCUGGCAGAAUAUUAAAUUACUAUAUGUUGCAAAAUGGGGAUGUUUUCAUUUACAUAAAGAGACAGAAACCUCAGAAAAUCCUAAUGCUGAACAGAUCCAUGAAAAUAGUGACGGUAGACAACUCUAAGACCAUUAGGGAACUCGUGUUUACCAUUUGCAGCAGAAUAGAAAUAAUAAACUGUAAAGAUUACUCUUAAUCCUAUUACCUAUUGAAGAAAAGAAAGAGGAAGGGUAAAUACACCCAAAACAAAAACAAAAACCAAAUAAACAGGACACUGUUAUGAUAUGAGAAGGAAAUGGAGAAGCUGAAGGCCAAACUUCACAUAGAGGAUGACCAAAAUUAGCUGGAUUACAGCUAUACACUCAGAAAACAAGUGGUCGAUGAAAAUGAAACAUUGCAGCUUAGAUGGAAACUUCCUUACUCUGAUCACUUUGUAGAUUCCAGGGACCUUGUGCAGCUGCAUUUGCUGUAUAUUCAGGCUCAGGGAGGACAUCUGAAUGGCUCCCACCCUUUAGCCUUUGAGAAAAUUUGUGAGUUUGGUGGAUUUCAAGCCCAGCUGUAACUUGGACCUCAUUGGACAUAAAAACAAACCUGGAUUCUUAGAG